AUGCGAUGAGUCGAUUGUGGUCUAAGACCACUUUUGCGCUGGGGAGGUCAUUAAGGCAGGAGCCGACUUUGAUAAAUUGUGUGAACCUCUUUAUCACACUCACAAGUGGAGUGCCCCGCACCUUUACCGUUUUGGUAAAGGUUUUUU
rnacentral:sRNA from 1 species